UGACGGUCAGUUUUUCUGCAUAGUUCUGCAUCAGGUUACUGUAUUUUGUUGGAUGCUAAUGGUUCUAAUGUAGUUUUGAUAGGUUGUUUUUUGAAUUUUGUGUGUUUGUUCUAUUAAAUGUAAAUUUUUGUAACACUUUAAAGUGGAGUGGAAGGCAUAACAUGUAUAUAGUUCAAAAUACACAGAUUGAGUAAUGAGUACAAAAGGAUUGGAGGGGCAGUAAGAGAUAUGAAUAGUGAUUGGAAGUAAUCACUUAUGAGAAAAGUUGGAAUAUAUACAGGAAAAAAGAGGUACAAUGAAUCACUUGGAAGAAAAGUUAGAAUAAAUACAGGAAAAAUGGGGUGCACUGGUUUGAAAUAUGAAUAUGGAUUGUAUAAUAGUGUGUAAGAAAAGUUGGAAUAUAUACAGGAAAAAUGAGGUGCAAUGAAUCACUUAUAAGAAAAGUUGGAAUAUAUACAGGAAAAAUGGGGUGCAAUGAAUCACUUGUAAGAAAAGUUGGAAUAUAUACAGGAAAAAUGGGGUGCAAUGAAUCACUUGUAAGAAAAGUUAGAAUAUAUACAAGAAAAAAUGGGGUGCAAUGAAUCACUUGUAAGAAAAGUUAGAAUAUAUACAGGAAAAAUGGGGUGCAAUGAAUCACUUGUAAGAAAAGUUAGAAUAUAUACAGGAAAAAUGGGGUGCAAUGAAUCACUUGUAAGAAAAGUUAGAAUAUAUACAAGAAAAAUGGGGUGCAAUGAAUCACUUGUAAGAAAAGUUAGAAUAUAUACAGGAAAAAUGGGGUGCAAUGAAUCACUUGUAAGAAAAGUUAGAAUAUAUACAAGAAAAAUGGGGUGCAAUGAAUCACUUGUAAGGAAAGUUAGAAUAUAUACAGGAUAAAUGGGGUGCAAUGAAUCACUUGUAAGAAAAGUUAGAAUAAAUACAGGAAAAAUGG
rnacentral:lncRNA from 1 species